GAUGAACGCUGGCGGCGUGCCUAAUACAUGCAAGUCGAGCGAACAGAUGAGGAGCUUGCUCCUCUGACGUUAGCGGCGGACGGGUGAGUAACACGUGGAUAACCUACCUAUAAGACUGGGAUAACUUCGGGAAACCGGAGCUAAUACCGGAUAAUAUAUUGAACCGCAUGGUUCAAUAGUUAAAGACGGUUUUGCUGUCACUUAUAGAUUGAUCCGCGCCGCAUUAGCUAGUUGGUAAGGUAACGGCUUACCAAGGCAACGAUGCGUAGCCGACCUGAGAGGGUGAUCGGCCACACUGGAACUGAGACACGGUCCAGACUCCUACGGGAGGCAGCAGUAGGGAAUCUUCCGAAAUGGGCGAAAGCCUGACGGAGCAACGCCGCGUGAGUGAUGAAGGUCUUCGGAUCGUAAAACUCUGUUAUUAGGGAAGAACAAAUGUGUAAGUAACUAUGCACGUCUUGACGGUACCUAAUCAGAAAGCCACGGCUAACUACGUG
rnacentral:rRNA from 1 species